UUAGGCGUUGUUGGGUAGGGGAGCGUUCUGUAAGCCGUUGAAGGUGGCCUGUGAGGGUUGCUGGAGGUAUCAGAAGUGCGAAUGCUGACAUAAGUAACGAUAAAGCGGGUGAAAAGCCCGCUCGCCGGAAGACCAAGGGUUCCUGUCCAACGUUAAUCGGGGCAGGGUGAGUCGACCCCUAAGGCGAGGCUGAAAAGCGUAGUCGAUGGGAAACAGGUUAAUAUUCCUGUACUUGGUGUUACUGCGAAGGGGGGACGGAGAAGGCUAGGCUAGCCGGGCGACGGUUGUCCCGGUUUAAGCGUGUAGGGGGUGUGACCUGGUAAAUCCGGUUGCAUAUCAACCCUGAGGCGUGAUGACGAUGCACUACGGUGCAGAAGUAGUUGAUGCCCUGCUUCCAGGAAAAGCCUCUAAGCUCUAGGUAACAUU
rnacentral:rRNA from 1 species